rnacentral:rRNA from 1 species
CCAGACUCCUACGGGAGGCAGCAGUGGGGAAUAUUGCACAAUGGGCGAAAGCCUGACGGAGCAACGCCGCGUGAUCGAAUGAAGGCCUUCGGGUUGUAAAGAUCUGUUGACAGGGACGAAUAAGCAAUGCGAAUAGUUUUGUGUAUGACGGUACCUGUUUAGAAAGCUCCGGCUAACUACGUGCCAGCAGCCGCGGUAAUACGUAGGGAGCAAGCGUUGUCCGGAAUUACUGGGCGUAAAGGGCGCGUAGGUGGGCGCUUAAGUCAGGUGUGAAAACUCCGGGCUCAACCUGGAGACUGCACUUGAAACUGGGUGUCUUGAGGGCAGGAGAGGAAAGUGGAAUUCCUAGUGUAGCGGUGAAAUGCGUAGAUAUUAGGAGGAACACCAGUGGCGAAGGCGGAUCGCUGGACAGUAACUGACGCUGAGGCGCGAAAGCGUGGGGAGCAAACAGGAUUAGAUACCCGAGUAAG